GAAAUGCGAUACGUAGUGUGAAUUGCAGAAUACAGUGAAUCAUCGAAACCUUGAACGCAACUUGCACCCACGGGUUAACUGUGGGUACGCCUGUUUCAGCAUCGUUUUCAUUCCUCCACAAACUCUACCAUCAUUGUUGGUGGUGGUUGAGCCAGUGGGACCUGGCAGUCGAGCACUCUGUGCACGUCUGCUGAAACUCAUGAGUUGGCCGAGUACCUGCUGCACAGUAUCGGGUUCUUGGUGGGAAGCAAGUUGGGACUUUUACAGUCAAUAAAAACAUGCAACCUGCCACUGCUACAAGGUACAGUGCAAGGUUCGAGGUCGACGGCCUUCCAAUGAGUCUCAGGACUUUGGCACGUCGUUCUUCACCGAUGAACAUCACACUUUGAUCUGAAAUCAGGCGAGGCUACCCGCUGAAUUUAA
rnacentral:misc_RNA from 1 species